rnacentral:lncRNA from 1 species
CUCAUCCUCAUUGUCUCACCAGGAGCCGGGUGUGGGCCCCCGGAGCCCUGGGACCUCAGCGCUGACCUCUGUUCCUGAUGUGGAGCCCGCAACAAGGACGCCUCCGCCCUACAUGCUCAGAGAGCAUGGAGGCUCCCCGGCCUGGGAACCGGGGAUGGGAUGGCGUCACAGAGGAGGAAACUGAGGCGGGAGAGGGGAGAGCGCGGUGCCCAAGGUCACACCAGAGCUGGUGAGGGCCCCACUCAGACCCCGGCCUCCCGCUCCAGGCCUGGAAGCGACUGUUUCCUCUCGGGCGUUUGGAACACCAGUCUGCAAGGACAGCCCCCGACGUGGCUGAGCUGGGGAUGCAGAGCCCUCGCGGAAGAGGCCCCAGCAACGCUGACAGCCAGAAGGUGACAGUGCGCCUGGACCCGAGCCGUGAGGGCUCCAGGGGCUGCGGGUUGGCUGCAGUUUGCAACCCCGAGAGGAUGAGCUUCUCCAACCGCCCCCAGAUCCAGGGGGCCCCAUCCUCGCUCCCUCCCCAGAGGACGUCAGGAAGAGGCUGGACAUUCCCAAGGGCCGGCCCCUCAGUGAGGGCUCCCCAGGAAACAGACCAGCAGAUUCUGUCCAGGCCUCUAGGAUCUGGACAAAGCCACUCAUCCAGAUGCACCCUCCAGAGACGCCCCAAACAAUGUUGGACCAAAUGUCUGGGCCUCUGCGGCCCCUCAGGUUGAUGCAUAAAAUCAACCGUCAUGGCAGGGGCCUCGUUCUGCACACGUGCAGGAUGCCCUGGGCGUGUCGGCCAGGGAGCUACCUCUGCCCACGGCCCUGGGCCUUGGGAUCCCGGUCUCAAACCUUCUACUUUGGCCAUGCCUGAUCUGGCAAAGAGUGGACCCAAAGACACUCUGUCCAGAGGCCGCCCCAGGACUGAGGACCAGCGUAACCAGGCUUCCAGUCUCCGGAUGGACAGUAGGACCCUCUCUCUGUGGCAGGAUUUGGACUCAGGAUCCUGAAGAAUUGCCAGUGAGCGGAGCUGAUGGAAGGAAGGUGAGGGCCUCCUUCGAGGCUGAGACACAAGGGAGCAGAAAAGAGGGGGAGCAGAGGCCAGGAACAGAGGGGGAGCGCCACGUACAGAGGGAGGCAGGGAUCCUCUGAGAGACCUGGGGACGCCACGGACGAGUGAUGGUGCUCCAGCCUCGGCUCUGACCCGACCCUCAUGGCCAUUUUCCCACCAUAAUGGGAGAAGGUCCCUGACAACCACUGGGUGCCAAGAUCUGCCAGAAGCUUCAGGUGAGAGUCCACUGUGAGGGGACGGAGACUGGCAUUGAGGGGACACAAAAAGGAACUAAGGCCAGCUGGGGUCACGUGCUGCGGGUAAGCCAGACCCCCAAGAGCCACUCACAGGGCAUCCUUGGCCAGGCUGGAGGGCACCGCCCUGACCACUGCCCACUCUCCCCACGGUGGACCCCUCAUCUGCACCAUGGCCUGUCUGCACCAUGGCCUCGUCUCCCCAGGGCCAAGGGCACUGCUGACUGUCUCUGUCUGCCACAGCAAAGGGGAUGAGGACCAUCUUUGCAGGGCUGCCUCCAGAGUCGGACGAGUACUCAUGUUGUGAUUAUUAGCGGCAGAAAAAGCUGUGCUUGACCCCAAAUUCUCCUCUGCGAAGCCUGGUCUUCCAUUUC